rnacentral:rRNA from 1 species
AUUGAACGCUGGCGGCAGGCCUAACACAUGCAAGUCGAGCGAGCGGCGGACGGGUGAGUACUGUCUGGGAACCUGCCUGAUGGAGGGGGAUAACUACUGGAAACGGUAGCUAAUACCGCAUACCCUCAGAUGUGCCCAGAUGGGGUUGGCUAGUAGGUGGGGUAACGGCUCACCGAGGCGACGAUCCCUAGCUGGUCUGAGAGGAUGACCAGCCACACUGGAACUGAGACACGGUCCAGACUCCGACGGGAGGCAGCAGUGGGGAAGAUUGAACAAUGGGCGAAAGCCUGAUGAAGCCAUGCCGGGUGUGUGAAGAAGGCCUUCGGGUUGUAAAGCACUUUCAGCGGGGAGGCGGUACCCGCAGAAGAAGCACCGGCUAACUCCGUGCCAGCAGCCGCGGUAAUAC